rnacentral:lncRNA from 1 species
AGGCCAUGACAAGAUUUACUAAGAUAGUUCACAAAAUACAAGUUUGAGUUCAAGAACACACAGGGACAUACAACAAGAAUACUGUAGGUAGAACAAGGGAUUUGGGGUCAGUAACCAAUGCACUUAUUUCAAGUUUUCACAAAAUAGUAAAAACUUAACACUAAGUAUAGAAGGCAGAAUCACAAAGAACAGAGAUGUCAAUCCUGUGCCUCAACUAACUUCUCCAGCAAGACCUUCCAAUUGCACUCCUACUAGUAUUCUUGAGUCUUUGGACAAAGAUGAGCCACAAUAGGUUUUGUUAGUGCAAGGUAAAUCAAGGGAAAAUUUUGGAGACCCUAUUGUAAAGAUUAAUUAUAAAAUGCAAGAAAGAUUUCACCAAUGAGUUUGAUAAAACUCAAUUUCCACUGGCCAAUAUUUACUGUAGGUUUCAGAAAUCAUGUUUAAUCAAGAAAUCACAAAGCUCUCGUAGUCCAGGUUGCUCUAAUACCACUGAAAAUUCGAGAGAUACUAAAUAUUAACCAAGAUUUCAAAACCACAAUCAUAAACUGAAAAUAAAGUGCAGAAUAUAUAAAUGAACAUAGAGAAUUUUUUGGUCGAACCCUCAGAGGUUCGAUGACCACUUCUAACGCCUAAUCCCCUAUUGAGCAUCCAUUAAAAUGGAUAAAACUCGGUUGCACUAUAAAGCCCAAAAAUCAGGCAUCAAAUAUACAGUAAUGUUCCAGAAAAUACAACAAUUAAAGUCACCAAGACUUAUCUUUAAAAUAAGGCACAAAUCAAGCCUCACUCCACUAAGGAUUCAAAACCCGGAUCACAUAGAUCACCAAAACCGAACUACCCUCCUCGAACCACAAAAAAUGGGUGCUCUUUCACAGAAUAUUACUUUCCACCAAGGAACUAUACAAAUCAGCCUCUAUAUUAUACAUUAAUAGGCUGAAAAACAUUAAGUUUUUCGUAAUAAAAGUGGGCAACAAAGAGUCACACGGAUUUGACUCAACCAAGACCAACUUAGCGAAAUACCCAUAUAGAUCUUGAAUAUUUCAUGCUGUUUUCUGAGAUUAUUUUCAGAAAAUUAGCCCCUAAAAUCACAAAGAAGGAAGAGGUAGUCUUGCCUAAGAAGAGAGAGAAAUGAAGAGCCUUUUUUCUUUUGAGUGAGACGUUUGAGGGAGAGUUGCCUUAGAAGAUAGAGAAAUGAAGAGCCCUUUUUCUUGAGAGUGAGACGUUUGAGGGAGAGAGAGUGAGUGUGAC